ACGGGAGGCAGCAGUGGGGAAUAUUGGGCAAUGGGGGAAACCCUGACCCAGCAACGCCGCGUGAAGGAAGAAGGCUUUCGGGUUGUAAACUUCUUUUACCAGGGACGAAGAACGUGACGGUACCUGGAGAAAAAGCCACGGCUAACUACGUGCCAGCAGCCGCGGUAAUACGUAGGUGGCAAGCGUUGUCCGGAUUUACUGGGUGUAAAGGGCGUGUAGGCGGAGCUGCAAGUCAGAUGUGAAAUCCCGGGGCUCAACCCCGGAACUGCAUUUGAAACUGUAGCCCUUGAGUAUCGGAGAGGCAAGCGGAAUUCCUAGUGUAGCGGUGAAAUGCGUAGAGAUUGGGAGGAACACCAGUGGCGAAGGCGACUUACUGGACUGUAACUGACGCUGAGGCGCGAAAGUGUGGGGAGCAAACAGGAUUAGAUACCCUGGUA
rnacentral:rRNA from 1 species